AUUGAACGCUGGCGGCAGGCCUAACACAUGCAAGUCGAGCGGAUGAAGGGAGCUUGCUCCUGGAUUCAGCGGCGGACGGGUGAGUAAUGCCUAGGAAUCUGCCUGGUAGUGGGGGAUAACGUCCGGAAACGGGCGCUAAUACCGCAUACGUCCUGAGGGAGAAAGUGGGGGAUCUUCGGACCUCACGCUAUCAGAUGAGCCUAGGUCGGAUUAGCUAGUUGGUGGGGUAAAGGCCUACCAAGGCGACGAUCCGUAACUGGUCUGAGAGGAUGAUCAGUCACACUGGAACUGAGACACGGUCCAGACUCCUACGGGAGGCAGCAGUGGGGAAUAUUGGACAAUGGGCGAAAGCCUGAUCCAGCCAUGCCGCGUGUGUGAAGAAGGUCUUCGGAUUGUAAAGCACUUUUAGUUGGGAGGAAGGGCAGUUAGUUAAUACCUUGCUGUUUUGACGUUACCAACAGAAUAAGCACCGGCUAACUUCGUG
rnacentral:rRNA from 1 species